rnacentral:rRNA from 1 species
AGAUCAGGAAAGACGACC